GACGAACGCUGGCGGCGUGCUUAACACAUGCAAGUCGAACGGAAAGGCCCUGCUUUUGUGGGGUGCUCGAGUGGCGAACGGGUGAGUAACACGUGAGUAACCUGCCCUUGACUUUGGGAUAACUUCAGGAAACUGGGGCUAAUACCGGAUAGGAGCUCCUGCUGCAUGGUGGGGGUUGGAAAGUUUCGGCGGUUGGGGAUGGACUCGCGGCUUAUCAGCUUGUUGGUGGGGUAGUGGCUUACCAAGGCUUUGACGGGUAGACGGCCUGCGAGGGUGACCGGCCACAUGGGGACUGAGAUACGGCCCAGACUCCUACGGGAGGCAGCAGUGGGGAAUAUUGCACAAUGGGCGGAAGCCUGAUGCAGCAACGCCGCGUGCGGGAUGACGGCCUUCGGGUUGUAAACCGCUUUCGCCUGUGACGAAGCGUGAGUGACGGUAAUGGGUAAAGAAGCACCGGCUAACUACGUG
rnacentral:rRNA from 1 species